rnacentral:pre_miRNA from 1 species
GAUAUCAACUGAAAAAAUUAUCAACAGCAAAGUUGAUUAACUCAUCAAGAUCUAAAACUUUUAUUUUGGUCAUUUCUUCAGACGACAAAGUGAUAGUAACAUUGUUCACAAAAUUGACAUAUCUCUUAUCUGGUUUUAUAAAACUAUAACACAUAUGUAAAAUUUGUGAACAAUGUUACUAAUAUUUUAUCGGAUGACGAAAUAACAAAAAUAAAAGUUUUAGAUCUUGAUGAGUUAUUCAACUUUGUUGUUGAUGACUUUUUCAAUUGAAAUC